rnacentral:rRNA from 1 species
CCUACGGGAGGCAGCAGUAGGGAAUGUUGCGCAAUGGGCGAAAGCCUGACGCAGCAACGCCGCGUGAUAGAGACGCACUUCGGGGUGUAAAGAUCUGUCAGUGGGGACGAAACUUGACGGUACCCACAGAGGAAGCACCGGCUAACUCCGUGCCAGCAGCCGCGGUAAUACGGGGGGUGCAAGCGUUGUCCGGAAUCAUUGGGCGGAAAGAGUUCGUAGGCGGCACGUAAAGUCUGGUGGUAAAGGCAGAGGCUCAACUUCUGUACGGCUCUGGAUACUUGCGAGCUAGAGUGCGGUAGAGGUAAAGGGAAUUCCUGGUGUAGCGGUGAAAUGCUUAGAUAUCAGGAGGAACAUCGGUGGCGUAGGCGCUUUACUGGGCCGUAAUUGACGCUGAGGAACGAAAGCCAGGGUAGCAAAUGGGAUUAGAUACCCUUGUAGUC